AAAGAUUAAGCCAUGCAUGUCUAAGUUACAUUUAAAAAUCGNGAAAGCGNGAAGGGGUCANUANAACAGGUAUCCUUUACUUGAUCUUGACACUAUCCUACUUGGAUAACUGUGGUAAUUCUAGAGCUAAUACAUGCAUUAAAGCUCUGACCUCACGGGAAGAGUGCACUUAUUAGAACAAAACCAAGCGGCUUCGGCUGUUUUCGGUUGACUCAUAGUAACUGAGCUGAUCGCACGGUCUUGCACCGGCGACGUGUCUUUCAAGUAUCUGCCGUAUCAACUUUCGAUGGUAGUGUAUCUGACUACCAUGGUGAUCACGCGUAACGGAGAAUAAGGGUUCGGCUCCGGAGAGUUCGCCUGAGAAAUCGCGAACACAUCUAAGGAAGGCAGCAGGCGCGAAAAUUACCCACUCUCAGCACGAGGAGGUAGUGACGAAAAAUAACGAGACCGUUCUCUUAUGAGGCCGGUCAUCGGAAUGGGUACAAUUUAAACCCUUUAACGAGUAUCUAUGAGAGGGCAAGUCUGGUGCCAGCAGCCGCGGUAAUUCCAGCUCUCAAAGUGCAUAGAAUUAUUGCUGCGGUUAAAAAGCUCGUAGUUGGAUCUGUGCCAUAGGACGUGGUCCACCUUCUGGGUGCGUACUAUGUUCCUAGGCUUUUUGCUGGUUUUCCCGUCGUAGCCUUCAUUGGUUGCGGCGGGUGGCUGGCGAGUUUACUUUGAGAAAAUCAGAGUGCUCAACACAGGCGUAUCGCUUGAAUGAUUGUGCAUGGAAUAAUAGAAAAGGAUUUCGGUCCUCUUUUUUGGUUUUGUGGACUGAGAUAAUGGUUAACAGGGACCAACGGGCGGCAUCCUUACCGCUGCGUGAGAAGGGAAAUUCUUGGACCGUAGCGAGACGCCCUACUGCGAAAGCAUUUUGCCAAAAAUG
rnacentral:rRNA from 1 species